GGGGGGCGGGGGGGGGGGGGGGGGGGCGUGGGGGGGGAACGGGGAGGCCGUGGUGGCAGGGUUCUCGUGUGGCGAACGGGUUGGUAGCACGUGGGUGAGCUGCCCCUGCCUUUUGGAUAAGCCUGGGAAACGGGCUCUAAUACUGGAUAGGCCCCUGCUGUAGGUGGUGUGUUGGCACUAUUAGUUUCUGUAAGGGAUGAGCUCGCGUACUCUCAUCUUGUUGUUGGGGUAAUGGCCUAGCAAGGCGUCGGCGGGUGACCGACUUGAGAGGGUGGACGGCAAAAUGGGGACUGAGAUACGGCCCAGACUCUUACGGGAGGCAGGAGUGGAGAAUAGUGCACAAUGGGCGCAAGCCUGAUGCAGCGCCGCCGCGUGGGGGAUGAGGGUCUUCGGGUUGUAAACUCCUUUCAGCCAUGACGAAGCCCUUGUGGUGACGGUAGUGGUAGAAGAAGCCCCGGCUAACUACGUG
rnacentral:rRNA from 1 species